ACAUGUUGAAAUUCCAGGAUUCUAGCGAUCCUUCCACAAAGUCAUGUUAACCAGCAAGGAAGAUGCCUGGACAAUAUAUAAAGCAUCCAUCUUGCUUGAAAAACAGAAGGAAACCUACGCCUAGCGAAAAAGAAUCAUCAAUAUAAUUAUAUGGAGAAUAUGUACAAUUUGUAUUUACCUUCUUCGAAGGAGGAUCUUACCUUCAGCAUCUUCAUGCACAAUGCUCAGAACAUCUUCAGGAGGAAUGUGCCACCAAAUUUUAGGCUUCUUCAAUUGGUGUCCUAUUUGAGCCAUUUUAUCAGCAGCUCUAUUACCUUCCCUGUAAACAUGAGUCACAAUGCAAUUGCCGAGUUCUGGUAAGAUCAAGUUUAUAUCGCCAACGUGCCUUCGCAUUUCUGCGCACUUCACCUGUCUACCUUUCACUAUAAUUUCCACUAAUGAUUUUGCAUCUCCUUCAAGCCACACAUUGUUCCAGCCAUUUUCCACCACCAACUCCAGGCCUCUUCGAAGGGCAGCCACUUCUGCUAUGGUGCUACUAGUUCUACCUAUGGAUUCUGCAUAACCUAGUACGAAUUCUGCCUUGUGAUUCCUGAAGACACCUCCAAUGCUAGCUUUGCCUUCUCUGCCUUUGCAUGAUCCAUCAAAGUUUAAUUUAGUCCAACCUAUUCGAGGCUUCUCCCAUGCCACAGGAAUAGGGUCCCUGUGCCAAUUCCUAAUCAAAAUACGAACUGGGUUUUGCAGUGUUCUUUGGAACCUAAAAAUGUUAGUGAACGGUAACAUUGUCUGAAUAUUUUUCUUGGAAACUAUUCAAAAUCGCCUAAUUGAUUCAUAAAUACUUGGAAAUAUGAAACACCAACAAAUUAAAAGGUAUUGUUCAUGAAAAUUUGUGGGAAAAUUUAUUUACAUAGAGAAGAAAAGGAGGUAGCCAGAA
rnacentral:misc_RNA from 1 species